rnacentral:rRNA from 1 species
GUGGGGAAUCUUGCACAAUGGGCGAAAGCCUGAUGCAGCAACGCCGCGUGAGGGACGACGGCCUUCGGGUUGUAAACCUCUUUUAGUAGGGAAGAAGCGAAAGUGACGGUACCUGCAGAAAAAGCACCGGCUAACUACGUGCCAGCAGCCGCGGUAAUACGUAGGGAGCAAGCGUUAUCCGGAAUUAUUGGGCGUAAAGAGCUCGUAGGCGGUCUGUCGCGUCUGCUGUGAAAACUGGAGGCUCAACCGCCAGCCUGCAGUGGGUACGGGCAGACUAGAGUGCGGUAGGGGAGAUUGGAAUUCCUGGUGUAGCGGUGGAAUGCGCAGAUAUCAGGAGGAACACCGAUGGCGAAGGCAGAUCUCUGGGCCGUAACUGACGCUGAGGAGCGAAAGCGUGGGGAGCGAACAGGAUUAGAUACCCGGGUAGUCC